rnacentral:lncRNA from 10 species
GGAUGGCCAGAACGUCUUCAGAGGGGAGGGACCUUGUGACGCUGAUACAGCCAAUGGCCAGGAGAUUUGAGGGGCAGAUUCUGCAUCUAUCCAAAGGGUAGGAUCCUGAUUGUUACACGAACUGUCCACCUCCAUCCAGAGCCGUGUGGCUUGUAGUGCCUUCUCGUGGCAGGUAUAUUUUCCUGCCUGUUCACGUGACUUGUGUUGGCCAGUGGAAUAUAGUUUGAUCUGCAGUAGUUUGAAUCUGAGGAUGCUGAACCUGUGGAUAAGGAGAGCCUACUUUUCUUGGACAAAUGCCCUGUGUCAGAAGAGUGUGGUAAACAGAAGCUCAGCUCCUUCAAGGAUGACAGCCUUGGUUACACCACCAGGCUGAAGUGCGGUGGCCCAGUCAUAGCUUACUGCAAACUUGAAAUCCUGGGCUCAAGCAAUACUCCUACUUCAACCUCCUGGGUAGCUGGGACUACUCAUGCCACCAUGCCCAGAACAUUUACUGGUGAUGAGAGACUCUAAAGAAGUCACAGCUUGCUUCCUUUCUGAAGAACGUUGUGAUUUUGGCUCACGUGCAGUGCACGACAACUCUUCUCCAACAGCAUGACAUAGUCCACUGUCUCAGGAUCCCAUUUUUCCACCAGCUGCAGAGCAGGAAGGGACAAAUCAAAGUGUGAGCAUUCGGAUCACCAACGCUGUGACCUCGCUGUGUGAACGGGAGCUACUACAGGAAGGAAGCUUACAAAUGAGCUGCAUGGAUCCCACAUUUUGCUAAAAUCAAAUAGGACCUUUCUCCUCUUUGUUGAAUGCCGUAAUACACAAGAAAUAAGCCAGCAGGAUGCUCAUGUCCAAGGUUUCCCUUUAUCUACCACACGAGUUGGCAUGAAACAACUUCUGGGGUUCAAAUCUUCUGAACAAUGAUACAAGUCUUGGCAAAUUUCAAGAAUAAUUUAAAGAGGAAAUAAAUAGCUUUUUGUUUAACUUGGAUCAAUUAUCUCCUAUUGCUCCCAGCUUCAUGCCAGGUACUCUCCACUGUGCCUGGGAAAUAUGAAUCCCUGCCCUCAUGAAAAAACAUUGGCCAUGAGGAUUUUCCCUACAACCCAAGAACUAUUUGAAGUUUGAAGUCUUUCAGCCCAGACAACACUGGCUAUUUUCACCUUUGCCUUCAACUAUAAAGGCUGGGCUCUCUCUGCAGGAGUGGGCAAACUGUUCCCCAGAGUACUGCAGAAGGAGAGAAGCAUAGCCAAUCUGAGGGACAGUGGCCGAUAAGAAGC